rnacentral:rRNA from 1 species
GACAGAGGGUGCAAACGUUGUUCGGAAUUACUGGGCGUAAAGCGUGUGUAGGCGGCUACGCAAGUCGGAUGUGAAAGCCCCGGGCUCAACCCGGGAAGUGCACCCGAAACUGCGUGGCUCGAGUACCGGAGAGGUUGGUGGAAUUCUCGGUGUAGAGGUGGAAUUCGUAGAUAUUCGCAAGAACACCAGUGGCGAAGGCGGCUCACUGGCCCGAUACUGACGCUGAGCCACGAAAGCGUGGGGAGCAAACAGG